UUUAGAACGUCGUGAGACAGUUCGGUCCCUAUCUGCCGUGGGCGUAGGAUACUUGAGGGAGGCUGCCCCUAGUACGAGAGGACCGGGGUGGACGGACCUCUAGUGUUCCUGUUGUCCUGCCAAGGGCAUUGCAGGGUAGCUAUGUCCGGAACGGAUAACCGCUGAAAGCAUCUAAGCGGGAAGCCACCUCCAAGAUUAGCAGUCCCUGACCUUCGGGUCCUAAAGGCCUCUCCAAGACCAGGAGUUUGAUAGGCUGGGUGUGGAAGUGCAGCAAUGCAUGGAGCUAACCAGUACUAAUCGGCCGUGAGGCUUGACCUU
rnacentral:rRNA from 1 species